ensembl:lncRNA
CUGAUACCACAUUAACACAACCAAAUAUGUAAAACUGAAUUACAGUUUUGUUUGCGUAAAAAAUACAGUAUGUCAGUCAUUUUUUUUACAUGUACUCUUUUCUUUUUGUUUCCCCCUCUCUAGCUGGUGUUGUGCUGUUAGCGCUGACCCUCAGUAUGGCUUCUUACUCUGACAGCCAGGGGCCGUGAGGGGCCGUUAAGGGCCAUGUGGGCCUGGUUGCAGCUGCUCCAUCUCCUUGCCCACUCAGCAGGCACACUGUGCCCUUUGAGCCCACCUGCCAUUCAAUCCAGCACAGAUGUGCCCUCAGCUGUUCUUGGUGCCAUUACUGCUCCCUGCACUUUUUAUCCUGCACCUCGGAGACCCCAAACUGCCAAACGAGCCAGCCUGACACUGGCCCUUCAUCUUACCUCCUCCACGAGACGAGUGCUCCCAACCUUUGCUUCCCAUGAGAAGAGACAGAGCCGAGAGAAGAGAGCCCCCUCAGCCCAGGCACGCUUCCCCCCAUCAUUAUGAGUUAAGCUUCUCACCUCUACCUUUCUUUCUAAGAGACUCCCUCUCUUUCUUUCUCUCUUCCUCUCUCUUUAUCAUACUGUGGCUUUUUGGCUUUGUGCUAUCUGUUUUCUUUUUGUUGCUCUUUUUUUUUCUGUCUCUGCCUGUCCUUCUUUAUUUUCCUCCACAAGGUUAAUUGCAUUAGCUAAAAGAAACCUGGCCUGUUGGUUGCUUAUGGAGGUUGCCGUUAGGCAUAUGACCCUCACAAAUCUGCUCUGGCCACCUAACACCACAGCUGAGAUAAUAGGGCUGCUGAUGAGGCUUCAAUUGGUGUCCUGGUCUGUUGGGUAUCCCAAAAUAACAGUGAAGCAGUGAUUUAGAGGUAUGAUGUUAUUCCUGUUACGCCUGCUUGCGAGCAGGACUGCUGUGAUCUCUAAAGCGCUAGUAUAAUUGAACAUCCCCAGUGACCCAAAAAAAAAAAAAAGCAAUCAACAUUUUUGUUUUCUAAAUAUUUUUAGAAAAAUGUCAGCCAUGAUGCAUCUAUUCAUCCUCUCUUUAAAAUAGACAGUAAAGUAAAGUAAAGUAGACCUUAGAGUGGCACCAUAUUUAUCAUCUGACAGGAAUGAAAACAAGGAUGUGAGUGAUGGAAGUUCAGUAGGUUGUUUAACAACAUACCGCUUGUUCAGUUAAAAAAUAAAAAAAUCCAAAAUAAGCAAACAAACAAAAGAAUACAAAACAUGUAUGUUAUUUUGGACAUUUAUACAAUGUGUGCCAUUGUAAAGACUAAGUUAAUCUUUCAUGUUAAAUUCAAUAUGGCGUCUAACUUGACUAUGGGUUAAAGGGUUUUAGCCUAAAAUAGUUAGUACCAGUUUGAUUGGCCUAACAACUUUAUAAAUAAAUUAAAUUAAAUUCAAAAUAAAUAAAUAAACAAACAAAUAAGAAGAGACACAUAAUUUGCAGUCACUUUCUCAACAGCAGUAGGCUAUUAUAUAUAUAUAUAUAUAUAUAUAUAUAUAUAUAUGUGCAUGUAAUUUGACGUCACGGACAGGGUAAUAU